rnacentral:pre_miRNA from 1 species
GUCGAGAAGAGGAAGAAAAGAGACCCUGAGAGUAGUGGGAAUGGGAACAUGGAUGAAACCCUAACUUGCUUUGUUUUCAUCUCUAGUAUAGGCGGUAAGAAUUCAGCUUGGUGUUUCCCGAUGCCUCCUAUUCCUAUUGUUCUCAAGCACUCCUUCCUUUUCUUUUGGCUU